UCCCCGAGGGGGCAUGGACACAGUCUUCCCACCUCAAACUUCAGUUUUGCUUGUUGGUUCCUCAAAGUGUUGACCCAGAAACCCGCACAGCACACACUUCAUUGGGGAGACAAUGGAGGUUGUUAUCACUGGACACUUAAUCCAGAGACCCAGAUAGUACUUUGGGGACUUGUGUUUGAAUCCCGUUGCAGCAGACGGCGGAAUUUGAAUUCAAUACAAACCUGGAAUUAAGCGUCUAAUGAUGAGCAUGAAUCUGUUGUCCUUUAAGGGAAGUAAACUGCCAUUCUUGCUUACAUGUAACUCCUGACCCACAGCAAUGUGGUUGACUCUUAACUGCUCUCUGGACAUUUAGGAAUGUGUAAUAAAUAUUACCCUAGCCAGUGAUGCCCUCAUCCCGUGAAUGAAUUUAAAAAGUACGUCAGGAAUUCCUCCUGUAUGCAAUGAUAACUGAUUUGCUUUGCCCAAUCUUUAUGCAGACUGAAGUCACCUGACUCUUGAAGUCAGUGACCUUUCAUCAUAGUUAGAGCUCUCCCUUUCUGCUGGUGUCUUCAAUUUCCUGUUUAGUGCCUUCUGCUAAAAUUACCACACGAGUUAACUGGGGUGUAUAUACAUCGACCACUGUCAAUUUCUGUCCCUUGAUGUUUCUAAACUGUACCCAGACUCCAUUUCACCAGAACUGAUAUCCAUUGUCAUUACCAUAUUAAUUUUAUUCCGUAACCAGCAAUGCUGACCUACCUCCUCCUCCUUGUCAGUCCUUCCAAGAAACUGAAUACCCCUGGAGCCCAGCUUCAGACAUCGUAGAUAUUUUGGUUUCUGAUUUACCAAAACAUCCUGGAUUCUGGAAAAGUCUGAGUUCAGUAGAAAUUAGCAGUUGUAACGCUGCUAUGUAAGAAAGAAGGAGGAACAAAAAUAAGGAAUAAAGCCAGUUAACAUUACUUCAAUCAGUUGGGAAAGUGCUUAAUAAUGUCUCUUCAUUAAGUAUGUUUCAGCAAUGCUUUUAAAACAAAAAUCGUAUCAUCUGAUUAAAUCAACAUGGUCAAUCCAGAAGAAGACAUUCCAUGAUGGAGACAGGGCAGUUGCAGGACAGAUGAGACCAUCCAUCCUCUUGACAGCUGACCAGCCAGUCUGGCCACCAAAUAAAUUAAUAGACAUAUUGGUCACAUGUGGGCAGGCCUCCUGGUGCCUUCACCUCCAUGGGCAAUAUACCAGGAAGGCUGUUCAGGGAAGAUGGCGGAGAUGGGAAACUGCAUCCAUGACAUGAUGCCCACGUUUACAAACAAGCCCUCCCGACAUGACAACCGCGCACAUGGAGAUGAAGUGGAAAACAGCAGUGUAAUUAGAACUAACACUAAUUGAAGCGGAGGGAAAGGAGCAAUACCUUCGUGGUAUCACUGUUGGUUGUGAGAAGAGUUUUGAGGU